GCAAAGCAGCCUAAUGCUGACAUGUGCUUGGCAAGUAUUCACAGACCACCUCACACCCAGCCAAGCACUGCGGGUGAGAGCAACAUAGGAGUGAGGAAGCCGGGGUCCUUACCAUCAGGGAGGACCAAUCUUACAGAUAGGGAAAAACUAUAUUUCAUCCAGUUGAAAACACCCAUUUUCUACGUUUUAAAAUUCCUAAAAUUAGGCUUUAUCUUUCAAUGAUUUUGGAUCAUUGGAUAAAAUACGGUAACUACAGCACAAAGCAGCAUUGUGCCCUGAGCGAUGUGCAGAGCCUACAGCAAUUAGAACAGUGGUCCAAGGUCAGGGUACACAUUAGACGUACCUGGGAAACUCAAAAAUACUUAUGUCCAGACCCCACUACAGACCAACAGAAUCUGCGGAAGUGUGUGGAGGGGUGUGGCUGUACAUUGGUAUUUCAAAAAGUACCUCACGGGAUUCUAAUACGUAGGCAGAGUUGAGAACCAGGAUAGCAAUCUCAAAUGACAGUACACAUUACCCUGAGGUUACAUGAAGACUUUCCAAGGGGCACACCUUGGAAAGUUUAGGGCACAGGUCAGUAAACUAGGGCCUAUGGCCCAAAUCGGUUCUGCUGCCUGUUUUUGUACCCUCUGGGGAGCUAAGUUGGUUUUUACAGUUUCAAAUGGUCAGGGGAAAAAAUCAAAAGGGAAAUAAUAUGUUGGGACAAAUGAAAAUUAUAUGAAAUUUAAAUGUAAGUGUCCAUAAAUAAAGUCUUAUUAGAACACA
rnacentral:lncRNA from 1 species